rnacentral:rRNA from 1 species
CAGUAGCCGCGGGAAUACGUAGGUGGCAAGCGUUGUCCGGAAUUAUUGGGCGUAAAGCGCGCGCAGGUGGUUUAAUAAGUCUGAUGUGAAAGCCCACGGCUCAACCGUGGAGGGUCAUUGGAAACUGUUAAACUUGAGUGCAGGAGAGAAAAGUGGAAUUCCUAGUGUAGCGGUGAAAUGCGUAGAGACUAGGAGGAACACCAGUGGCGAAGGCGGCUUUUUGGCCUGUAACUGACACUGAGGCGCGAAAGCGUGGGGAGCAAACAGGAUUAGAUACCCCUGUAGUCCCUGUCUCUUAUAA